rnacentral:rRNA from 1 species
AGUAAACUGGCGAACGGGUGAGUAACACGUAGGUAACCUGCCCUUGGACUGGGGAUAACACUGCUAACGCGGUGCUAAUACCGAAUAAAGCGAUUUGAUCACAUGGUUGAAUUGUUAAAGCUGGCCUCUAUUUAUAAGCUAGCAUCUGAGGAUGGAUCUGCGCCCCAUUAGUUAGUUGGCGGGGUAACGGCCCACCAAGACUACGAUGGGUAGCCGGCCUGAGAGGGUGACCGGCCACACUGGGACUGAGAUACGGCCCAGACUCCUACGGGAGGCAGCAGUGAGGAAUAUUGCGCAAUGGCCGCAAGGCUGACGCAGCAACGCCGCGUGAGGGAUGAAGUUCUUCGGAAUGUAAACCUCUGUUAGAGGGGACGAAAGAUAGUGAGACGAACAGGUUCAUUAUUUGACGGUACCUUCAGAGAAAGCCCCGGCUAACUCCGUGCCAGCAGCCGCGGUAACACGGGGGGGGCAAGCGUUGUCCGGAAUUAUUGGGCGUAAAGGGCGCGUAGGUGGGAAAGCAAGUCUGGGGUGCAAACUUGUGGCUUAACUGCAAGCUUGCCCUGGAAACUGUUUUUCUUGAAUUCGGGAGAGGGAAACGGAAUUCCUGGUGUAGCGGUGAAAUGCGUAGAUAUCAGGAAGAACACCGGUGGCGAAGGCGGUUUCCUGGCCCGAUAUUGACACUGAUGCGCGAAAGUGUGGG